rnacentral:rRNA from 1 species
GAUGAACGCUGGCGGCGUGCCUAAUACAUGCAAGUCGAGCGAACAGACGAGGAGCUUACUCCCCUGACGUUAGCGGCGGACGGGUGAGUAACACGUGGAUAACCUACCUAUAAGACUGGGAUAACUUCGGGAAACCGGAGCUAAUACCGGAUAACAUGUUGAACCGCAUGGUUCAACAGUGAAAGACGGUCUUGCUGUCACUUAUAGAUGGAUCCGCGUCGCAUUAGCUAGUUGGUAAGGUAACGGCUUACCAAGGCAACGAUGCGUAGCCGACCUGAGAGGGUGAUCGGCUACACUGGAACUGAGACACGGUCCAGACUCCUACGGGAGGCAGCAGUAGGGAAUCUUCCGCAAUGGGCGAAAGCCUGACGGAGCAACGCCGCGUGAGUGAAGAAGGUCUUCGGAUCGUAAAACUCUGUUAUUAGGGAAGAACAAAUGUGUAAGUAACUAUGCACGUCUUGACGGUACCUAAUCAGAAAGCCACGGCUAACUACGUG